CCCUAAGAAUAAAAUAAUAAGGGCUGGCAAGAUGGCUUAGAAGGCAAAAUAAACCUGUCUCCAAGCCCGAUGACCUGAGUUAAAUCCUGGGGGCCCACAUGGUGGAAGCAGCAAACAGACUCCUCUGACCUUCACAUGUGGUGUGGUGCACCCUCUACAAAUAAGUAAAAAUUAAAUAAAAAAUCAAAGUCAUCAAUAAGGAAACUGCCCACCCCUUGCCUGUUUUCUUUAGGGCCUACCUGUGCAAGCUCAAGGCUGAACAGACGAUCUCCAGUGCUCCACAUUUUUAUCAGUCUCGCUAGUUCACAGAGAACUGAGAAAGGAAUGAGCUAAUACUUACCUUGAGCCAUCUGAGAAGAUCUUCCUUAACUUCUGAAGACUCAUGGCAAAGAAGUCAUUGCAGUGAAUCCUAAACUCUAAUUUGCACCCAAAUGAAUUAAUUUGCUCUCCCCACAUAAGACAACAGACUGCGUUAAAAGCACUAUCGAUCCAGAAGUGGGAAGACGGAACUCAUUUCCCAUUCCUUCAUUAAGCCCUGAAAUAAAGGGCAGGUACGAUGUGGAGCUGCAUCCUGCAGCGAGGGAUGAAGAUCCGUGAAGAAGGCUGCCCCAGGGCCCUGCUCACCCUCCUUCCACUCGCCACGGUAUUCCUCCCCACUGGAGUACGUAAAGGAACCUUUCGUCAGCGUCAUGGUGGUUGCUGGCGGGAGGAAAGGAUGACACCUGUAAGAAACAGAGAAGCCGGUGUCACCCAGGGCGGAGGGCCUGAGGCUGAGCUCUGUGGAGGGCAUCCUACCUCAGGUGUACUUAACGAAAUGCCCUCCCCGACACCCACCGCCACCUCACCCUGCUUCUCUAAGUUUUCAGCCAGCUCCUGCUUCCUAUGACCUGGGAUGGAAAUAGAAGCUCAGUCUGCAAAUGUUUCCUUGAUGUCUACCACGAGCUUAGAUGUAUAAAAGAGUCUCUCUCCUCAGUGAAGUUAUAGCAUGGUUGGUGAAACACCAAACUAUCCCAGAGACAAUGUAAUUCUGUCAACUCAGAUGGCGCAUAUCAGCGAGUACAGGGGUGAGCAGCCCUCACCAGAGCCAUGGCUGUAAUCCCAGCGCUUGGGAAGCAGAGGCAGAGAUCAUGUGUUCAAAGCCAUCCUUAGCUACAUGAAACAUCUCAAAAUAAAUACAUAGGUGUAGUA